AGUUUAGGUGAGAGACGAGCGACUGGUGCGCAACUCGAUGACCAUGCAACACAGAGCAUAAAACGCGAGUUUGCCAGGUGCGGAUAGAUAACAAAACAGUUAGGAAACCGAUGUUUUUCGUCUGCGGAACGCGAUUGCCUUUCAAACGAAUUGCGCGUUAGAUCACCGCUCGUUUAUUGCUCGGCGAGAUAUAAAAGAAGUUCGUCGGUCAUAUUAUCGACGAAGUGCUGUUAGGCAAUGAAACCGAUUCCAAUAACCGCUUUCGUUCCAUGGAAAAAGAGGGCGUUGCGCAAUAACCGUAAGAAGAAAAAGGGAGAAGGAAAAAUACGGGGAGAACGAAGGAACGGUAACGGAAAGAUAAAAAUAUCCGUGAUCCAAUAGUCGAUAAGCUAUCGGCGCGAACUAGAUCGCAUCUGGGGGCUGCUCGUUUCAAGUGGUCACGAGACUGCGAUUAUUACCACGGCCACGGCACAUUCGUUAACCGACGGGCCGUUCACCUUACCGUGCAUCGUCAGUUUGAAUAUGUCAGACGAUAUGUGGCGCUGGUGGAUGAACUCUGUAUCAUUUUGUCAGACGUGUCUGUGCAGGUUCAAGUCAACGGCUGCCCGAAGAUCGCGUCACGACAUGCUUUCGAUCGACAACAUCGUCCAUCAUACUCGUGUUUAUUCUACUCAAAUAUCUAUCAUAAGAUGAUAAUAAUUCAUACUAAUAUUAAAAUAAAUCCAAAAAGAGAAGAAAGAUAAAUAAAGAAAUUUUUAAGAAAAUUCAUAUAAAUGUCAAACGUUUUGUUUAUUAAUCAUUUUUUUAGGUUAGAACAAAAUUAUAUAAAACUAUGAGAGUCCUAAGAAUCGUAUUUUUCAUGCGGUAGUUAUAGUUACUGGAAUAUAUUGUCUCGCAUUAACAUGUUGCAACGGCAAAAUGCAUACAUAUAUGCAUUGUUUCUAGAAAUAGCUGUCUACUCUCGAUUCUAGUAUCUACCGCAUCGUGCAUCGUUAAUCCAAUCGCGAUGAGAGGUAUGCAGAAACAUUGAUCGCUGCGUUACGUGUUUUUUUCCGCGAGGCAACAAAUAUUGUAAUAAAUCAGGCUUUCCAUUUUUUACUACUGACUAGACGUUUAUGGUAAAUAGAUAGAUAUUUGCUUCGCAAAUUAUCAUCGUGUAACUACAUCAUAGAUAGGCUUACUAUACUGAAAACUAAUAUCCACUAAUAUUCAACAAGCAUACAUACGUAUUUCACUUUGCUGCGUUCUUUU